CGUUGGCCUCAGAUCAGGGAGGAUCACCCGCCGAAUUUAA
rnacentral:rRNA from 2 species